AACAUCUGACACGCCAUCAUUGACCAGUGUUGCCAAGUCCGCUUAUUAUAAGCGACUUUGGGCUUGUUUUUCUGUAAAGUCGCUUACAAAUAUUGGUAGUCGCGGGUCGCGGUUUUUUUGGGCUUGUUUCUAAAGUGUAGUUGCUUAUUUGGGCUUGUUCCUAGCUCCAUAAUAAGUUGUCAAGC